rnacentral:lncRNA from 1 species
UUCACAUCACCCCCUUUCUGGGCUUUUUCUUAGGGCCUGAGCCUCCUCUCAAUUCAUAGGACCUUCUCUUGAGGGUGGAGGAGGAUUGUGGGCAGACAAAGAGAGAACUGACUGGAUAGGGCACCUUCACAAAUGUUUUUCCUGAAGCCUACAGAAUGGCAUUUUUCUGUUUGUGUUGAAGUUGUCCAACCGGUAUUUUCAAAUGAUGGAUUUCUGGAAAAUUGGAGCCUGGAGGGUGACUUUUCAUAAGAUAGGCUCUGAUCUUUGAUCCAUUUAAAAAACUGCAUACUGGUAGGAAGACUGCAUCGCUGCAGCAAGAAAGUAACCUGGCACACAUGGUAAGAAGUUGCUGGGGUAAGGACUUCGUGACCAAAAACUCAAAAGCAAAUGCAACAAAAACAAAGAUAAAUAGAUGGGACUUAAUUAAACUAAAAAGCUUCUGCACAGCAAAAGAAAUAAUCAGCAGAGUAAACAGGCAACCAUGGAGUGGGAUAAAUCUUCACAACCUAGACAUCUGACAAAAGACUAAUAUCCAGAAUCUACAAGGAACUCAAACAAAUCAGCAAGAAGAAAACCAAACAAUCCCAUCAAAAAGUGGGCUAAUGACAUGAAUAGACAAUUCUCAAAAGAAGAUACACAAAUGUCCAACAAACAUGAAAAAAUGCUCAUCAUUACUAAUGAUCAGGGAAAUGCAAAUCAAAACCAAAAUUCCGUACCACCUUACUCCUGCAAGAAUGGCCAUAAUCAAAAAAGCAAAAAAAUAAUAGAUGUUGGUAUAGAUGUGGUGAAAAGAGAACACUUUUACACUGCUGAUCAGAAUGUAAACUAGCACAACCACUAUGCAAACAGUGUGGAGAUUCCUUAAAGAACUAAAAGGAGAACUACCAUUUGAUCCAGCAAUCCCACUAUUGGGUGCCUAUCCAGAGAAAAAGAAGUCAUCAUAUGAAAAAGAUACUUGCACAUACAUGUUUAUAGCAGCACAAUUUACAAUUGCAAAAAUAUGAAACCAGCCAAAUGCCCAUCAAUCAACGAGUGGUUAAAGAAAUUGUGGUAUAUAUAUACCAUGGAGUACUACUCAGCCAUAAAAAGGAAUGAAAUAAUGGCAUUUGCAACAACCCACACAGAAUUGGAGACCAUUAUUCUAAGUGAAGUAACUCAGGAAUGGAAAACCAAACAUCUUAUGUUCUCACUCAUAAAUGGGAGCUAUGAGGAUGCAAAGGCAUAAGAAUGAUACAAUGGACUUUGGGGACUCAGGGAAAUGGUGGGAGGGGGUGAGAGAUAAAAGACUACACACUGGGUACAGUGUACACUGCUCAGGUGAUGGGUUCACCAAAAUCUCAGAAAUCACCACUAAGGAACUUAUCCGUGUAACUAAAUACAACUUGUUCCCCCAAAACCUAUUGAAAUUAAAAAAAAAUCAUUCCAUUAAAAAAAAACAGUUCUCUUUUGUGCCUGGAUUGCCAAUGAUUAUGGCUAUUAACAGUUUAUUGCACUUCGCUAUUAGUCAAGUAUUCCUUCUCAAUAUUCUGAUUUCUCAAAUAUCCUUAUUUCUAUCAUCGUUUUAUUCAGACUCUUCACAUGUAUCCUUCUUGUAAAGUCAUUAAGAAAACAGUAUUCAAGCAAAUGAUAAAAAGGAGAUUUGACUUCUAGGCACUAGGAGGAAGAUUUUAAUGUCUUGAUAAAGGAUACUGUGGAAGAGACUCUGUCUUCAGUCGGAAACUGUCCUGUCUUGGAAUAAUCACUGCUGGAGGGAAGGUCCCAACUCUCAUACCAAAUAUUUCCCAUUUAUUCUUACCAGGUUGGUUCUGACAGAUACUUUAUCUCAAGUGUCUUUGCAGCAAAUCCUAAAGGCAUAUCUAGAAGAUUAUUUAAUAACAUCUGGAAGCACAGACAAGAGAGAUGGUAAAGGAAAUAAAGCAAUCCAAAUGAACUGAGCAAAUCUGGGACAUGACAUCCUAGACCUUGCUAGGAGCGGAUAAUGGUGCUUUCAGCCAACUGCGGGGAAAGGGAUUAGGAAAAAUAAGCUAGGAAACAGACCACCCAGGCUGAGAUGCUCAUUCUUGUUUUACAAUUUAAAGUGUAAAGGAAAUCCAAAUUAAUUUCUCAGGAUAGCAUCACCUGCUUUGUGUCAGGGAACAAACAGUGAGUCAGAAGUGUCAUAUAAAACCCAAUAGCAACGAGUUGAUUCUGCACCGAGGUUUGCAGAAUGGGAAUGCGACUUCCCUGGCUCCAUGACUUGAUUCUGCACUGACGUUCACAGAAUGGGAAUGCAACUUCCCUGGCUCCAUGGCAUGUUGACGAGAGUCAGAGCUGAAGACCAGGGAGCCUGGGGGUGGUAUCUAUUGGAAUUUUUCAGCCUCACUGAUCAAAGUAGCUUGGAUGAGAUGGAAAAGGGCCAGAGUUCAGGCGGGGGGAAAUAUAGCUGGGUCAGAAGGAGUUUCAUUGACAACUUAAGGAAUAGCAACUCCUCUGGUAUUCAAUAUGUAGGUGAAGCUAAAGAGGAUAUUGGGAAUGUGUGCAGGAAGCCUCAUGCAAGAAUUUUCACAGUGGCACUGCUUGUAAUAACAAAAACAUUGGAAUUAACUCAAAUGUCCAUCAAGCAGAGACUGGAUAAAUGUACGGGGGUGAACUUGCUUAAUGGAAUAAUAGACAGUAAUGAGAGUGGAAUAAACAAGAGCUACAUGUAUUAACAUGGAUGGCUUUUCAACUGCACAAUGCUGAGCAAAAGAGCAAACAGAAGAAAGAAAAUGUGUGUAUAAAGAAAAACCAUGCAUGUCAAGUUUAAGAAAACGUGAAACCAUACUAUAUAUUGUGUAUCCAAUUGUGACUGGAUAUAGACAUACUGAGUACAAAUGUUUUAAAAUGCAUGGGAAUAAUAAAAACCAAAUUCACUUUAGUGGUUAUAUUUGGGCAGAUGGAGAGGAGACGUGACCAGGGAGGGGGUACACAAGAGAUGCCAAUUGUAUUAAUGUUUUAUCCUUUAACGUGGGCUGUAGGUACAUAGAUGUUUUGUUAUAUUACUCUGUAGUUUUUUUGUAAGUCUGAAAUAUUUCACAAGAACUUAUCAUCCCCCUCCUAUCCACACAGAAUUUUUAAAGAAUCUAGAAGAUAGCGUUUCUGAGGAAGGAAAAUGGGUAUGUUGGAGUGUUACAAAGAGAAAUAAAGUGAUGUAGUGUCUUGCAAGAGUAGGUGCUUAAUAUAUGUAUUUGCUGAAAUUAACAAAGUUUGGGAAGGAAAGUAAACAGACCCAGAGAGUAAUAGAAAAGGCGAAUGAAAUGAAAGGGCUCUGGGGAGAAGAAAGUUUGGAUCCAGUGAUGUGUGGAAGAUAGCAGCACACACAAUGAAGCAAAACGGGAGGAUCGGUGAGUUGGAUGGAUGCUGAAAACCAGCCAAACUCCCCACUUCCUCAGCCUCAGAGCUUGGAAGGAGCUUCUGCUGUGUUGGGAAUUCCUGUUGCCAGAACGUCAUCUUCUAGGUGCAGCUCAUCAGGAUGUUGUAAAUGGUUUCUUAACAAAAUUAUUCUUGCUAAGAGAAAGGGAGAAAGAAAAUGCUUUUGAGUUUAUCCAUGCAAGAAGGUCAUCAAAAAAUGGCGAUCAGCCUGAACUUUUUUGCUGAACUAAGAGAGUUCCUUUAGUCGUUUUUCAUGAAGUUCACAGUGUGAUUUUUAUUCUAUUUUGUAGAUCAUGUUUUCCUGUGAUCUACAAGGUGACAUACAGCUUUGAUAAGGAUGUGAUCAGCAUUCUGGUUUAAUAAUUGGCAUACAAUGGGUUUUUUGGAAUUGCAUCAUAUGUCUUCAGUAUUAUUAUUUCUUUGCUUGGGUGAUUUAUUCUCCUGGAUUCUGAGAACACAAAUUGGGCUUUUAGAGUUAGCAAGCUGAAAAAUGUUCGUUUUUAAACCUGUUACUCCAUAAAGUCGGCUGUGCCCUGAGCUCCUUUGAUGUUGCUCAGUAGACACUGAGAACGUUUCAGACAAAUUCAUUUUUAACUGCUCACGGAGGGCUUUGGAUUAUCAUCUAGUCAUUGUUCUAACCAUUGGGACAGACCUUUGCUGAACAAUGUUGGAUUAAUCAGGCAGAACAGAGCUCGAAUCUCCUCAUUCCUUUUGUCUGUAUGAACUGAGCCCUGGACUCACAGCACGUAGAAUUCUGGGGCUUAGGGAGCUUCUGCCUGUGCUUUAUUUUGUUGUUUUAUUCAAUUAAAAAUUAAUUUUAGUUUGUUCUCUUUCUCCUCCAUGGCUCAAACUAUUAAAGAUAGUUCUGAGGAAGGAAAUGCAAAAUAGCAAGAAAUUGUUCUGCUUGCCAAUGGCCCAGGGCCUCUUGCUUUCUAGGUUAAAAGGACUGUUUGGGGGAAAUGAAGUUCUGUCUCUCUAACGACACUGUUUAGUUUUGCAUCCUAUUUUAGUUGGAGGGUGAAAUGAACCAGAUCUGUUUCUAGCCAGUCUGACUCUUUGAUUCCAGAUUGGGGCAUCUUCAACAGGGUUUUAUAUCCUGUUGGAAUGCAAGGCUAUUUUAAGAAAUCCCUAUUGGAUUGAGAAAAAGCACAUAGUAUAAUUAUGGUGACCAAACCAUGUGUCCCAGAUUUUCCAGGAUGUUCCCCAAAUUCAUGUAGUUUCAAUCUUUUCAAUAAAGUAAGUGCAUUUUGUAUGCAUCAAC